AUACGUAGGGGGCGAGCGUUGUCCGGAAUGAUUGGGCGUAAAGGGCGCGUAGGCGGCGCGGUAAGUCUGGAGUGAAAGUCCUGCUUUCAAGGUGGGCAUUGCUUUGGAUACUGUCGCGUUUGAGCGACGGAGUGGAUAUCGGAGUUCCCGGAGUAGCGGGGAAAUGCAUAAAGAUCGGGAGGAACACCAGUGGCGAAGGCGGGUAACUGGACUGCAACUGACGCUGAGGCGCGAAAGUGUGGAGAGCAAACAGGAUUAGAUACCCUGGUAGUCCACACUGUAAACGAUGAAUGCUAGGUGUAAGAAGUAUCGACCCCUUUUGUGCCGGAGUCAACACAAUAAGCAUUCCGCCUGGGGAGUACGGCCGCAAGGUUGAAACUCAAAUGAAUUGACGGGG
rnacentral:rRNA from 1 species